rnacentral:rRNA from 1 species
UACAGAGGGUGCAAGCGUUGUUCGGAAUUAUUGGGCGUAAAGGGCGCGUAGGCGGUGCGGUAAGUCUGCAGUGAAAUCUCUGGGCUCAACUCAGAGUCUGCUGUGGAAACUGCCGUGCUUGAGUGUGGGAGAGGUGAGUGGAAUUCCCGGUGUAGCGGUGAAAUGCGCAGAUAUCAGGAAGAACACCCGUGGCGAAGGCGGCUCUCUGGGAUGGUACUGACGCUGAGACGCGAAAGCGUGGGGAGCGAACAGG